rnacentral:rRNA from 1 species
AUACGUAGGGUGCAAGCGUUAAUCGGAAUUACUGGGCGUAAAGCGUGCGCAGGCGGUUUUGUAAGACAGUGGUGAAAUCCCCGGGCUCAAACUGGGAACUGCCAUUGUGACUGCAAGGCUGGAGGGCGGCAGAGGGGGAUGGAAUUCCGCGUGUAGCAGUGAAAUGCGUAGAUAUGCGGAGGAACACCGAUGGCGAAGGCAAUCCCCUGGGCCUGCACUGACGCUCAUGCACGAAAGCGUGGGGAGCAAACAGGAUUAGAUACCCUGGUAGUCCACGCCCUAAACGAUGUCAACUGGUUGUUGGGGAUUUAUUUUCUCAGUAACGAAGCUAACGCGUGAAGUUGACCGCCUGGGGAGUACGGCCGCAAGGUUAAAACUCAAAGGAAUUGACGGGG